rnacentral:rRNA from 1 species
AACCUGCCCAAGAGAUCGGGAUAACACCUGGAAACAGAUGCUAAUACCGGAUAACAACAGAUGAUGCCUAUCAACUGUUUAAAAGAUGGUUCUGCUAUCACUCUUGGAUGGACCUGCGGUGCAUUAGCUAGUUGGUAGGGUAACGGCCUACCAAGGCGACGAUGCAUAGCCGAGUUGAGAGACUGAUCGGCCACAUUGGGACUGAGACACGGCCCAAACUCCUACGGGAGGCAGCAGGC